rnacentral:rRNA from 1 species
CAGCCGCCGCGGGAAUACGUAGGGUGCGAGCGUUAAUCGGAAUUACUGGGCGUAAAGCGUGCGCAGGCGGUUCGUUAAGACAGAUGUGAAAUCCCCGGGCUUAACCUGGGAACUGCAUUUGUGACUGGCGAGCUAGAGUAUGGCAGAGGGGGAUGGAAUUCCGCGUGUAGCAGUGAAAUGCGUAGAUAUGCGGAGGAACACCGAUGGCGAAGGCAAUCCCCUGGGCCUGUACUGACGCUCAUGCACGAAAGCGUGGGGAGCAAACAGGAUUAGAUACCCCGGUAGUCCCUGUCUCUUAUAC